CCCUUAGAUGUUCUGGGCCGCACGCGUGCUACACUGAGUGGAUCAGCGGGUCAGGUUGCGCGAAAGCGUUUCCUAAUCUUUAAAUCCGCUCGUGAUGGGGAUUGACGGUUGCAAUUUUCUGUCAUGAACGAGGAAUACCUUGUAAGCGCGGGUCAUCAUCCCGCGCUGAAUACGUCCCUGCCCUUUGUACACACCGCCCGUCGCUCCUACCGAUUGAGUGGUUUAGUGAGAUCCUUGGAUCGGCCCUGUCGCGGCUGGCAACGGCCGCGUCGGCGCGUCGAGAAGACGAUCAAACUUGAUCAUUUAGAGGAAGUAAAAGUCGUAACA
rnacentral:rRNA from 1 species